rnacentral:lncRNA from 1 species
AUAUUUUUGGCAUCGGCAAAAAUUCACCAUUGCCAUUAGAAUCUGAUAAUUUAAUUAGAGAGUUUGAUCGAGAGGGAAAAGUAUCAUUGAACGAUAAAAAUGGCUUUGUAUCCAAAUGUGGAGCAAUGGCUUUUUUGCUAUCUUUCACAUGGAACAAAUCGCCACAACCAUCAUUCAGAUUCGAACUGGAACCAGUUGUGGUAAUUUCGCGAGACUGAAUGUCUAGUUUGGUAGAAUGAAAAGAAACAUCAUCUAAUAUUUUUGGAGAGCUCCCUACUGGAUUCCUGACCUUGAUGCUGCCGUCGAUGAGGGAUAUGCAUGAUGCAUCAUCAUUCUUGAUGUAUUCUUCGGCAGGCUUGGUGAUAAAAUCACCCCAGGCAUCAUCAGGCAACUUAGUCUCAACAGCAGGCAUGGAUUUCAAGCCAUUGCAAAUUCG